UACGUAGGGUGCAAGCGUUGUCCGGAAUUAUUGGGCGUAAAGAGCUCGUAGGCGGUCUGUCGCGUCGGAUGUGAAAACCCAGGGCUCAACCCUGGGCCUGCAUUCGAUACGGGCAGACUAGAGUUCGGUAGGGGAGACUGGAAUUCCUGGUGUAGCGGUGAAAUGCGCAGAUAUCAGGAGGAACACCGGUGGCGAAGGCGGGUCUCUGGGUCGAUACUGACGCUGGAGGAGCGAAAGCGUGGGGAGCGAACAGG
rnacentral:rRNA from 1 species